rnacentral:rRNA from 1 species
AUAAUCUAGGUUAAGUGGGAUCACCCGCUGAGUUUAAAUAUAUCAAUAAGUGAAGGAAAAAAAACUUACUAAGAUUCUUCUAGUAAUAGCGAAUGAACUGAAAAGAGCCUAGCUUGAAAAUCAAGCACCUCCGAUGUAUAAAUUAUAGUCUGAAAAAAUGUCCUUAGUGAUGGACUAGGCCCAAGUCCCCUGGAAAAAGGCACCAAAAAGGGUAAAAGUUGUAUUAUGCUCGGACCCAAUCAGGUGGUAAAUUUUAUCCAAGGUUAAGUAAGGAUGAGAGACUGAUAGUAAAUAAGUGUCGUGAGGGAAAGAUGAAAAGAACUUUAAAAAAAAAUUAAAUAGUACUUGAAAUUGUUGAGAAAGAAGUAAAUGACGGUGGCUAUGCACCCUGAACGGAUGUAGAACAGUGAAAGUCGAUCUACCAAUCGACUCAAGGCAUGGACUAAUAUGAGUCAUGGUGACAGCUUAAGCCUGAGCUUUCAUUAUGCUCACAAAGACAUCUUUGUCAUGAUCAUAAAAUGUAGCACACACCGUUUCGACAUCCCUUGGCACCCACAUUCUCUCGAUAUCAGCCUAGGGCUCCCCAUCUAACUCAUUUUAAAAUACAGACCAAAGAGUCUGACAUGUGUGUAAGUCAAUGGGCUAGAAAACCUAUAAACCACAAGAAAGCUUAUUGGUAAGAUCUCUCAAAGGUGCACUACUAAUUGACCUUGAUCUUUUAAGAAAGGUUCAAGUGAGCAUGUCUGUCAGAACUUGAAAAAUGGUGAACUAUGCCUAAGCAAGAUGAAGCUAAAAAAAACUCUAGUGGAGGCUUAUAGCUAUACUGACAUACAAAUUGUUCAUCUAACUUAGGUAUAGAGGCAAAAGACUAAUCAAAUCAUCUAGCAACUAGUUCUCUUUGAAGUUUCUCUCAAGAUAACUGGAGCCCUUAGCAAGUUCUAUCGAGUAAAGCCAAUGAUUACAGAUAUUAGGGGCGCAAUGCGCUCAACCUAUUGUUAAACUUUAAAUAGGUAAGACAACGAUGUUGCUUCAUUGAGCUGUGCCACAAAAUCAAAAGCUCCAAGUUGGCCAUCUUUGAUAAGCAAAACUGGUGAUCUGAGAUGAACUGAAAGUCAGGCUAUAGUACCCAAUUACUUACUAACCUAGAACCCACAAAGGAUGUUGGUUGAUUAAGACAGCAAGACAAUGGUCAUGGAAGUCAAAAUCCACUAAAAGUAUGUAACUGUCCAAUCAACUAACCCUAAAAAUAGAUGAUGCUUAAGCACGCUACCUAUACUUAACCUUUGGGGUAAAGGUUAAGCCUCGAUGAGUAAGAAGGCAUAACGAUAAUUGCAAAACCUGGGGCACAAGCCCAGAUGGAAUGGCUAUUGAUGCAGAUAUUGGUGGUAGUAGCAAAUAUUCAAAUGAGAAGUUUGAAGGCCAAAUAGGGGAAAGGUUCUAUGUGAAUGGCACUUGCACAUGGGUUAGUUGAUCUUAAAGGAUAGGGGAAACUUGUCUAAUAGUGCGUCUAGUGUGAGCUUCGAAAGGGAAUCAAGUUAAAAUUUUUUAACCAAGAUAAGGUGAUUGAUGACAAUGUUAAAGAGUCCAAAGAUAUCGAAGGAGGCCUCAAAAAGAGUCAUCUUUUCUAUUUAAUGGCUUAUCUACCUUGAAAAUGGCUUAGCUGAAGGUAAAGUCCAGCAGUUAAAAGAGCACCAUAUGUUGUGUGGCGUCCAGUGUGCCCCUAAUGACCUUUGAAAAUUUGAAAGAUUAAGUGCCAUCGAUGCCCAAUCAUACUCAUAACCGUAUCAAGUCUCUUAGGUGAAUAGCCUUUAAUUGAUGGAACAAUAUAGGCAAGAAAAAUCAGUAAAAUGGAUUUGUGACCUCAGAAAAAAGAUUGGAUCUGAGGGUUGGGCAUGGGAGUUUCAAUCUCAUACCUGUCAGUUAUAGGUGCACUACUCGAGCUGCUCCCAUAGUGAGAGUAGGUUAUCGUGUGCUAGUCGAGGGAUGAACUAGGAAUGGCUCCCUUAGAGGCCUUUUUCAAGCAACGAAUAGUCAACUCAAAACUAGUAUAGACAAAAAAAAUCUACUGUUUAAUUAAAACAAAAUAUUACAAUGGUCACUGCAGAUGCUCACGCAAUGUAAUUUUUACCCAAUGCUUUAAAUGUCAAAGUAAAAAAAUUCAAUCAACGCGUGUAAACAGCGUAAGUAACUAUAAUUCUCUUAAAGUAGCCAAAUGAGUCAUCAUCAUAUUAGUGACACGUAUGAAUGGAUUAAUGAGAUUCUUACUGUCUUUAUCUACUAUCCAGCAAAACCAUAGUGAAGGAAAUAAGCUUGGCAAAAUCAGUAAGGAAAGAAGACCUUGUUGAGCUUGACUUUAGUCUAACUUUGUGAAAUAACUUGAGAGGUGUAGGAUAAGGGGGAACCUUUGGGUGAAAUUAAAAUACCAUUACUUUUAAUAUUAUUUUACUUAUUCCUUGAAUCAAAAGUGGGCAUGACCACUUCUUUUGGACCCAAAAUCAACCUUGAUUAAUUAAUCCGGAAAGAAAAUAUUGUCAAGUGGGGAGUUUUGUUAGGGUGACACAUCUAUUAAAAGAUAACGCAGGUGUCUUAAGAUGAGCUCAACGAGAAUAAAAAUCUCGUGUGAAAUAAAAAGGUAAAAACUCAUUUGAUAUUGAUUUUCAAUACGAAUACGAACAGUAAAGUAUGGCUUAUCGAUCUUUUAAACCUUUGAAAUUUGAUGCUAAAGGUGUCAGAAAAGUUACCACAGAGAUAAUUGGCUUAUGGCAACCAAGCGUUCAUAAUGACAUUGCUUUUUUAUCCUUUGAUGUCUGCUCUUCCUAUUAUUGUGAAGUAAAAUUCAUCAAAUGUUAGAUUGUUCACCCACCAAUAGAGAACAUGAGCUAGGUUUAAACCAUCAUGAGACAGGUUAGUUUUAUCCUACUAAUGGUAGCAUCAUAAUAGUAAUUCAACCUAGUACAAGAAGAAUCAUUAAUUCACACAAUUGGUCAUCGUGUUUAGUUGAAAAGCCAAUGACGUGAAGCUAUCUUAUGCUAGACUAUGACUGACACCUCUACAUCAAAAUUUGGUCUAGAAGCAAUGCACACACCUAUCAUUCUAUUGUUGACCCAUAGUAAGGGCCCAUGGCCCUUAAAGGCAAAUGUUGUAGGUGUAACCCCAUUAGCAAACAAGCUUCCUACCAAAUGAU